UACGGAGGAUGCGAGCGUUAUCCGGAUUUAUUGGGUUUAAAGGGUGCGUAGGCGGACGCUUAAGUCAGCGGUAAAAUUGCGGGGCUCAACCUCGUCGAGCCGUUGAAACUGGGUGUCUUGAGUGGGCGAGAAGUACGCGGAAUGCGUGGUGUAGCGGUGAAAUGCUUAGAUAUCACGCAGAACUCCGAUUGCGAAGGCAGCGUACCGGCGCCCAACUGACGCUGAAGCACGAAGGCGUGGGUAUCGAACAGG
rnacentral:rRNA from 1 species